rnacentral:rRNA from 1 species
GGAGGGUGCGAGCGUUGUCCGGAAUCACUGGGCGUAAAGGGCGCGUAGGUGGCGCGGCAAGUCAACGGUGAAAGCUCGACGCUCAACGUCGAGUCGGCCGUCGAUACUGCCGCGCUCGAGCACUGUAGAGGCAGAUGGAAUUCCGGGUGUAGCGGUGGAAUGCGUAGAGAUCCGGAAGAACACCGGUGGCGAAGGCGGUCUGCUGGGCAGUUGCUGACACUGAGGCGCGACAGCGUGGGGAGCAAACAGGAUUAGAUACCCUGGUAGUCCACGCCGUAAACGAUGGGCACUAGGUGCUUGGGGGAGCGACCCUCUGAGUGCCGACGCUAACGCAUUAAGUGCCCCGCCUGGGGAGUACGGCCGCAAGGCUG